UCCAUUUAAAAAACAAAGCAAACCCUAAACGCUCCUGUGUUCGACAUUCGACAGAGACAAAACCUUCCUUCUCCAAAUCUCCACCGCCAGUCCGCCACAGCCCACAAACGGCCGGCCAAGUUCCAUACUUCCUCAGUUCCUCUUCGUCGCUCACAGACAUUCGACAUUCGUCGCUCAAUUCCAUACAUCUGACUGUUCUUCCUCUUCUUCGCUACGCCUACUGCUACUCGCUUCCUCUUCCUCUUCUCUUCAAUUCCAUACUUCGACUAUGAACUAAUGAAUUUCACAACACAGGGAUAGUAAGAAUGACAGCUUUUAAUGACGUCUUUGAGAAGCAUGUUCCUUCAAUCUAGCCAACAUCAAAAAAUUCUGAUUCAUCCUUCUAUAAAUCAUCUAAAAGGUAGGUCUAGAGGAAUUGCCGGAAUUAUUGUCAGAUAUUCACUUGAUACAAUAAGAAUCUGACAAAAAAAUUCAAAUACGGGUGGUUCUGCAAUGAGUAUUUUAUGUCGAGUUAUAGCAACGAAAAGGGGUAGGAAUCGGGUUCUCGAGUGGUGAAACACCAGUUUCAAUAAGUGAGAGGCCAGAGUCUGUGGUGUUCUAUGCCUCAAGGUGGUAAUGAUCUCAAGCGCAUUCGCUUUAGGUAUAAUUUCUACUUGUAUUUUCUUUUCUUGGUUUUGGAUUUUUUUGUUAUUUUUGUGCUUUUUGUUUUAUUUUGAUCAGCAUUUGUUUGGUUAUUUUAUGGUUGUUAGCUAAACUAUUCGGUAGAGUCCAUUUAUUGGCUAAUACUAUGUGCUAAACUGUACUUUUCUCUAAUAUACAAGUUCAUGGGAUUUAACCUGUUACUUUGUAGUUGGACAAGUCAUCAGAAAUCCAGUGGUUCUGGAUCACGCAAAUACAAAUUUCAACUAUUAAGAUGUCAUUUCAUUUGUGGAAUAUUGAAUUGAUGGAUUUUAGAGUCUAAUUUGUAAAUAUGUAAAGGGUAAUUACUUGCUAGAUGUAAAAUCAGUGACUCUUCAAGAUAAAAUGAUUAUGAUUAUAUCAAUUGAAGGUUGAUGAA